rnacentral:rRNA from 1 species
UACGAAGGGGGCUAGCGUUGCUCGGAAUCACUGGGCGUAAAGGGCGCGUAGGCGGCGUUUUAAGUCGGGGGUGAAAGCCUGUGGCUCAACCACAGAAUGGCCUUCGAUACUGGGACGCUUGAGUAUGGUAGAGGUUGGUGGAACUGCGAGUGUAGAGGUGAAAUUCGUAGAUAUUCGCAAGAACACCAGUGGCGAAGGCGGCUCACUGGCCCGGUACUGACGCUGAGGUGCGAAAGCGUGGGGAGCAAACAGGG